UAAUAAAGUUUAGUUUUGUGUGGUAGUAUUAAAAGAAUCAAAAUAAAUUAAAAAUUUUUAGUAAAUAGGGAAAUAAAUAAGAAGAUAGAAAAAGUACUGUAAAGGAGUAAUAAUAUUAAUAGUGGAAAAACGAAGUUUUUUUUACCUUUUGUCUCAGGGUUAGUUAACUAAAAUUUUUAAAUUUAAAAUUUCUCGAAGUUUAAUGAUUUAAUAUAGAAUAAAAGUUAAUGUAAAAUUAAUUAUUUUUAAUUCUAUAUUGGGGGAGAAAUUCUAUUCAAGUUAAAUGAUAUCUAGUUUCUUUGGAAAUAAAUUUAAUUUAUUUAACAGAUUAAUAUAAUAAAAUAAGUUAAAAAUUUUUCUGGUUAAAUCUAUUAUUUGGGAUAAGCUAAAUAAUAAUAUAAUAAUUAUUAGAUGUAUUAAGAAAAUGAGGGUAUUAGGACUAAGAGUCUCUGAUAUUAUAAUAAUUUUAAUAAAUUUAAAAAUAUUGAUUUAUAAGGGAUUUUAUAAUUUACAGAGAAAAUUUCAUAAAUUAAAAACGAAGUAUUAUUAUGAUUAAAUUAGUAAAUAAAUAACAUAGAAUCAUUGAAUCUUAAUAAAAUUAUUUUAAUGAAUUCGGCAAAAAUUUUCUUAACUGUUUAACAAAAACAUUUCUUGGAGAAGGUAAAUUUUUCAGGUAAGUUCUGCUCUAUGAUAAUUUAAAUGGCUGUUUUUACACUAAGGUAGCAUAAUAGAUUGGCUUUUAAAUAAGGUCUGGAAUAAAUGAAUAAAUAAAGGGAAUACUUUAUUAGAAUAAAAUUAUUGAAAUUAGACUUUAAGUAAAAAUACUUAAGUGAAUUAGUGGGACGAGAAGACCCUAUAGAAUUUUAUAAUUCUUAGGUUAUAUAUUAUAUAAAAUUAAUAUGUUGUUUAAGAUUUAAUUAACUGGGGAAGUUGAUAUAUUAAAAUAAUUAUAUUAAUAUAUAAAUACUAAUGAGUAGGAAUAAAAAUAUGGAGAUUUUAUUGAUUUAAUAUAAAUUACCUUAGGGAUAACAGCGUAAUAUAUUCGGAUAGUUCAAAUUGAAGGAAAUGAUUGCGACCUCGAUGUUGAAUUAUGGAAAACUUAUGUGCAGGAGCAUAAAUGAUUUGGUCUGUUCGACCAUUAAACCCAUACAUGAUUUGAGUUAAGAUCGACGUGAGUCAGAUUGGUUUCUAUCUACUAAAAAAAAAGGUAUAGAUUUGUACGAAAGGACUGUUUAUACUAAUUUAAAUUAUAAUUAAUAUGAUUGAAAUUAAUUAUAUAAAAA
rnacentral:rRNA from 1 species